CUGGGAAAGGCAGACCUACCCUCAAUCUGGGUGGGCACAAUCUGAUCAGCUGCCAGCAUGGCCAAAAUAAAAGCAGGCAGAAGAGUGUGAAGAGACUAGACUGGUUUAGUCUUCUGGCCUACAUCUUUCUCCCGUGUUGGAUGCUUCCUGCCCUCAAACAUCAGACUCCAAGUUCUUCAGCUUUGGGACUUAGACUGGCUUUUUUGCUCCUCAGCUUGUAGAGAGGCUAUUGUGGGACCUCGCCUUGUGAUCGUGCAUAUCCUGAUCAUCAUCUACUAGAACAGCAAGAGAAGAUAAAACUGGAUGUGCGAGUUCAAAGGUCUACAUUUUGCAAUACGAGAGAACAGCUGAAUUGAACUAGGGAGACAUGAAUUUGUCAUGAAUAAAUCUUGCAGAAGGACUGUAUUCAAACUAUGGAGAUAUGAUAUACAGUGAAUAUAUUUGUGGUUAGCAAAAUGAUGUUACAGUUUUAUGAUAAUAAAUUUCUUAUAAAAAAGAAAGAGUUCUAAUUUAUUGUAUUAUCUUUAGUAUCUUGCACAGUUCUGGCAUGAAUUAGAUAUUAAAACUUUCUACUCCAAAUUAAGCAAU
rnacentral:lncRNA from 10 species